rnacentral:rRNA from 1 species
CCCGCUGAACUUAAGCAUAUCAAUAGGCGGAGGAAAAGAAACUAACAAGGAUUCCCCUAGUAACUGCGAGUGAAGCGGGAAAAGCUCAAAUUUAAAAUCUGGUUGUUUCACAGCCCGAGUUGUAGUCUGGAGAAGCGUUUUCCGCGUUGGACCGUGUACAAGUUUUCUGGAACGGAACGUCAUAGAGGGUGAGAAUCCCGUCUUUGACACGGACUACCAAUGCUUUUGUGAUGCGCUCUCGAAGAGUCGAGUUGUUUGGGAAUGCAGCUCAAAAUGGGUGGUAAAUUCCAUCUAAAGCUAAAUAUUGGCGAGAGACCGAUAGCGAACAAGUACCGUGAGGGAAAGAUGAAAAGCACUUUGGAAAGAGAGUUAAACAGUACGUGAAAUUGUUGAAAGGGAAACGUUUGAAGUCAGUCGCGUCUUCCGAGAUUCAACCUUGCUUCUGCAUGGCGCACUUCUCGGUCGACGGGUCAACAUCAAUUUUGAUCGCUGGACAAAGUCCGAGGGAAUGUGGCAUUCUUCGGGAUGUGUUAUAGCCCUUGGUCGGAUACAGUGGUUGGGAUUGAGGAACUCAGCACGCCUUUAUGGUCGGGGUUCGCCCACGCAACGUGCUUAGGAUGUUGACAUAAUGGCUUUAAGCGACCCGUCUUGAAACACGG